rnacentral:ncRNA from 1 species
UGAUAGAGGCGCGGGUACGAUGAGUACCCUCCCCCACACAGCCCAGGCCGGCGGGGGAGGGGAAAGGCUUGCCUGCCGAGACGCUGGCGCGGCGGCCUGUCCGCCCAGGGUCGGGCCGUGGGGGAACAUCUCACGGACUGUCGCCCCGCGCGGGGCGGAGCGCUGUCGU